rnacentral:rRNA from 1 species
AAAAAAGGUAAGCUACUAAGAGCGAAUGGUGGAUGCCUUGACUGGUAAAGGCGAUGAAGGACGUACUAGACUGCGAUAAGCUACGGGGAGCUGUCAAGAAGCUUUGAUCCGUAGAUUUCCGAAUGGGGCAACCCAAUGUAUAGAGAUAUACAUUACCUAUAUAGGAGCGAACGAGGGGAAUUGAAACAUCUUAGUACCCUCAGGAAAAGAAAUCAAUAGAGAUUGCGUCAGUAGCGGCGAGCGAAAGCGCAAGAGGGCAAACCCAGUGCUUGCACUGGGGGUUGUAGGACUGCAAUGUGCAAGAGGUGAGUUUAGCAGAACAUUCUGGAAAGUAUAGCCAUAGAGGGUGAUAGUCCCGUAUGCGAAAAACAAACCUUAGCUAGCAGUAUCCUGAGUAGGGCGGGACACGAGAAAUCCUGUCUGAAGCUGGGUCGACCACGAUCCAACCCUAAAUACUAAUACCAGAUCGAUAGUGCACAAGUACCGUGAGGGAAAGGUGAAAAGAACUGAGGUGAUCAGAGUGAAAUAGAACCUGAAACCAUUUGCUUACAAUCAUUCAGAGCCCUAUGUAGCAAUACAGGGUGAUGGACUGCCUUUUGCAUAAUGAGCCUGCGAGUUGUGGUGUCUGGCAAGGUUAAGCAAACGCGAAGCCGUAGCGAAAGCGAGUCUGAAUAGGGCGCUUAGUCAGAUGCUGCAGACCCGAAACGAAGUGAUCUAUCCAUGAGCAAGUUGAAGCUAGUGUAAGAACUAGUGGAGGACUGAACCCAUAGGCGUUGAAAAGCCCCGGGAUGACUUGUGGAUAGGGGUGAAAGGCCAAUCAAACUUCGUGAUAGCUGGUUCUCUCCGAAAUAUAUUUAGGUAUAGCGUUGUGUCGUAAUAUAAGGGGGUAGAGCACUGAAUGGGCUAGGGCAUACACCAAUGUACCAAACCCUAUCAAACUCCGAAUACCUUAUAUGUAAUCACAGCAGUCAGGCGGCGAGUGAUAAAAUCCGUCGUCAAGAGGGAAACAACCCAGACUACCAGCUAAGGUCCCUAAAUCUUACUUAAGUGGAAAACGAUGUGAAGUUACUUAAACAACCAGGAGGUUGGCUUAGAAGCAGCCAUCCUUUAAAGAAAGCGUAAUAGCUCACUGGUCUAGUGAUUUUGCGCGGAAAAUAUAACGGGGCUAAAGUAAGUACCGAAGCUGUAGACUUGCGCACAACUUAGAUUAUUUAAGUUUAGAAUAUGAGAAACUAAGUUAUAUGUUUAGUUAUAUUUUUACUGAUUUUUAUAGAGUAAAGAUAGAAAUAAAACUUAGUAAAAUCAGUAAAAAUAUUCUUAGACUAAAGUUAAGUAGUUUAAGUUGUGUGCAAGUGGUAGGAGAGCGUUCUAUUUGCGCCGAAGGUAUACCGGUAAGGAGUGCUGGAGCGAAUAGAAGUGAGCAUGCAGGCAUGAGUAGCGAUAAUUAAUGUGAGAAUCAUUAACGCCGUAAACCCAAGGUUUCCUACGCGAUGCUCGUCAUCGUAGGGUUAGUCGGGUCCUAAGUCGAGUCCGAAAGGGGUAGACGAUGGCAAAUUGGUUAAUAUUCCAAUACCAACAUUAGUGUGCGAUGGAAGGACGCUUAGGGCUAAGGGGGCUAGCGGAUGGAAGUGCUAGUCUAAGGUCGUAGGAGGUUAUACAGGCAAAUCCGUAUAACAAUACUCCGAGAACUGAAAGGCUUUUUGAAGUCUUCGGAUGGAUAGAAGAACCCCUGAUGCCAUCGAGCCAAGAAAAGUUUCUAAGUUUAGCUAAUGUUGCCCGUACCGUAAACCGACACAGGUGGGUGGGAUGAGUAUUCUAAGGCGCGUGGAAGAACUCUCUUUAAGGAACUCUGCAAAAUAGCACCGUAUCUUCGGUAUAAGGUGUGGUUCGCUUCGUAUUAGGAUUUA